AAGAACUUUAGACAAAGGACUUAGGGACUCAUUAGGACUCUUGCAUUUGGACUUGGACUUGUGUGAUUGACCUAUGCAACUUAGAGUUUCCAAGGACUUGUAAUCUUUUAUUGCAAGAAUGGGAUACAUUCAUGGCACUACCCGAGGGAGACUUGAUUUGUAUUUCCAUUAUCUGAUUGUUAGUUUAGGACACCAUUGCACACACAAGGCUUUCUCUUAGGCUACCUGACAAUGAGACCUUUU
rnacentral:lncRNA from 1 species